AUGCAUAAUAAACCUCACCUUACUCUCUUAUUAUCUUCAUUCAUUAACAUCUCAAACUUUCAAAACUCACCAUAAAAGAACUCAUUUUCUCUUCAAAAAUACGUACUCCCAUAUCUCUCAUUUUUUCCCAACAAAAUAGAAACAAUGAAGAGAAAGAUCGAUAUUCUCUAUUGUGAAGAUAAAUCCAUGAAUUUGAGAUUCACUUCUCA
rnacentral:lncRNA from 1 species